CCUACGGGGCGCAGCAGUGAGGAAUAUUGGUCAAUGGACGCAAGUCUGAACCAGCCAAGUAGCGUGCAGGAUGACGGCCCUCCGGGUUGUAAACUGCUUUUAAGAGGGAAGAGCAGAAGACGGUACCUCUUGAAUAAGCCACGGCUAACUACGUGCCAGCAGCCGCGGUAAUACGUAGGUGGCAAGCGUUGUCCGGAUUUACUGGGUGUAAAGGGCGUGCAGCCGGGAAGACAAGUCAGAUGUGAAAUCCCGGGGCUCAACCGCGGAACUGCAUUUGAAACUGUUUUUCUUGAGUACCGGAGAGGUCAUCGGAAUUCCUUGUGUAGCGGUGAAAUGCGUAGAUAUAAGGAAGAACACCAGUGGCGAAGGCGGAUGACUGGACGGCAACUGACGGUGAGGCGCGAAAGCGUGGGGAGCAAACAGGAUUAGAUACCCGUGUAGUC
rnacentral:rRNA from 1 species